GACAGUAUGGCUCAGUGGUAGAGUGUGUGCUUAGCAUGCAUGAGGUUCUGGGUUCAAUCCCCAGCACCUCCA
rnacentral:tRNA from 1 species